rnacentral:rRNA from 1 species
CCUACGGGGCGCUGCAGUGGGGAAUAUUGGACAAUGGGCGAAAGCCUGAUCCAGCCAUGCCGCGUGUGUGAAGAAGGCCUUCGGGUUGUAAAGCACUUUCAGUGGGGAAGAAAGCCUUGGGGCUAAUACCCUCGAGGAAGGACAUCACCCACAGAAGAAGCACCGGCUAACUCCGUGCCAGCAGCCGCGGUAAUACGGAGGGUGCGAGCGUUAAUCGGAAUUACUGGGCGUAAAGCGCGCGUAGGCGGUCUGAUAAGCCGGUUGUGAAAGCCCCGGGCUCAACCUGGGAACGGCAUCCGGAACUGUCAGGCUAGAGUGCAGGAGAGGAAGGUAGAAUUCCCGGUGUAGCGGUGAAAUGCGUAGAGAUCGGGAGGAAUACCAGUGGCGAAGGCGGCCUUCUGGACUGACACUGACGCUGAGGUGCGAAAGCGUGGGUAGCAAACAGGAUUAGAUACCCUUGUAGUC